GACGAACGCUGGCGGCGUGCCUAAUACAUGCAAGUCGAGCGAAUGGAUGGGAGCUUGCUCCCUGAAGUUAGCGGCGGACGGGUGAGUAACACGUGGGCAACCUGCCUGUAAGACUGGGAUAACUUCGGGAAACCGGAGCUAAUACCGGAUACAUUCUUUCUUCGCCUUAAGAAAGAUGGAAAGAUGGUUUCGGCUAUCACUUACAGAUGGGCCCGCGGCGCAUUAGCUAGUUGGUGAGGUAACGGCUCACCAAGGCAACGAUGCGUAGCCGACCUGAGAGGGUGAUCGGCCACACUGGGACUGAGACACGGCCCAGACUCCUACGGGAGGCAGCAGUAGAGAAUCUUCCGCAAUGGACGAAAGUCUGACGGAGCAACGCCGCGUGAGCGAAGAAGGCCUUCGGGUCGUAAAGCUCUGUUGUUAGGGAAGAACAAGUACCAGAGUAACUGCUGGUACCUUGACGGUACCUAACCAGAAAGCCACGGCUAACUACGUGCCAGCCGCCGCAGUAAGAC
rnacentral:rRNA from 1 species